GGGGAAUAUUGCACAAUGGGGGAAACCCUGAUGCAGCGACGCCGCGUGAGUGAAGAAGUAUUUCGGUAUGUAAAGCUCUAUCAGCAGGGACGAAUAAAUGACGGUACCUGACUAAGAAGCCCCGGCUAACUACGUGCCAGCAGCCGCGGUAAUACGUAGGGGGCAAGCGUUAUCCGGAUUUACUGGGUGUAAAGGGAGCGUAGACGGUGAUGUAAGUCAGAUGUGAAAGCCCGGGGCUCAACCCCGGGACUGCAUUUGAAACUAUGUUGCUAGAGUGCAGGAGAGGUAAGUGGAAUUCCUAGUGUAGCGGUGAAAUGCGUAGAUAUUAGGAGGAACACCAGUGGCGAAGGCGGCUUACUGGACUGUAACUGACGUUGAGGCUCGAAAGCGUGGGGAGCAAAC
rnacentral:rRNA from 1 species